AUGAACGCUAGCGGCAGGCUUAACACAUGCAAGUCGAGGGGCAGCAUAAUGGAUAGCAAUAUCUAUGGUGGCGACCGGCGCACGGGUGCGUAACGCGUAUGCAACCUACCUUUAACAGGGGGAUAACACUGAGAAAUUGGUACUAAUACCCCAUAAUAUCAUAGAAGGCAUCUUUUAUGGUUGAAAAUUCCGAUGGUUAGAGAUGGGCAUGCGUUGUAUUAGCUAGUUGGUGGGGUAACGGCUCACCAAGGCGACGAUACAUAGGGGGACUGAGAGGUUAACCCCCCACACUGGUACUGAGACACGGACCAGACUCCUACGGGAGGCAGCAGUGAGGAAUAUUGGUCAAUGGACGCAAGUCUGAACCAGCCAUGCCGCGUGCAGGAUGACGGCUCUAUGAGUUGUAAACUGCUUUUGUACGAGGGUAAACGCAGAUACGUGUAUCUGUCUGAAAGUAUCGUACGAAUAAGGAUCGGCUAACUCCGUGCCAGCAGCCGCGGUAAUACGGAGGAUUCAAGCGUUAUCCGGAUUUAUUGGGUUUAAAGGGUGCGUAGGCGGUUUGAUAAGUUAGAGGUGAAAUUUCGGGGCUCAACCCUGAACGUGCCUCUAAUACUGUUGAGCUAGAGAGUAGUUGCGGUAGGCGGAAUGUAUGGUGUAGCGGUGAAAUGCUUAGAGAUCAUACAGAACACCGAUUGCGAAGGCAGCUUACCAAACUAUAUCUGACGUUGAGGCACGAAAGCGUGGGGAGCAAACAGGAUUAGAUACCCUGGUAGUCCACGCAGUAAACGAUGAUAACUCGUUGUCGGCGAUACACAGUCGGUGACUAAGCGAAAGCGAUAAGUUAUCCACCUGGGGAGUACGUUCGCAAGAAUGAAACUCAAAGGAAUUGACGGGGGCCCGCACAAGCGGUGGAGCAUGUGGUUUAAUUCGAAGCAACGCGAAGAACCUUACCAGGUCUUGACAUCGAUCUAAAAGGGAUGGAGACAUCCUCAUAGCUAUAGAGAAGACAGGUGGUGCAUGGUUGUCGUCAGCUCGUGUCGUGAGAUGUUGGGUUAAGUCCCGCAACGAGCGCAACCCUUAUCAUUAGUUGCUACGCAAGAGCACUCUAAUGAGACUGCCGUUGACAAAACGGAGGAAGGUGGGGAUGACGUCAAAUCAGCACGGCCCUUACGUCCGGGGCUACACACGUGUUACAAUGGUAGGUACAGAGGGCAGCUACCCAGCGAUGGGAUGCGAAUCUCGAAAGCCUAUCUCAGUUCGGAUUGGAGGCUGAAACCCGCCUCCAUGAAGUUGGAUUCGCUAGUAAUCGCGCAUCAGCCAUGGCGCGGUGAAUACGUUCCCGGGCCUUGUACACACCGCCCGUCAAGCCAUGGGAGCCGGGGGUGCCUGAAGUUCGUGACCGCAAGGAGCGACCUAGGGCAAAACUGGUGACUGGGGCU
rnacentral:rRNA from 1 species